rnacentral:lncRNA from 1 species
GGGCAGCGCCGCCGCCGUGGGCUCCGGAGGAUCUCCGGGUGUUCGUCUUUUAGCCCAUCGGUUCUCGAAUGUGACCUGGAGUGCCUCUGAGACGUCACAAAUGACCGCAGGAGGUGGCUUGCACCUUCUGUGGCCAGGAGCUGAAGCAACAAGCAGUGCCUUGCUCAGGAUGUACUGUGAUAGCAUCAGGCCUUACCCAUUCAUCACCAGGCUGGAAUUAAAAGGCUUUCAGCGCCGCAUGGGGCUGAGCUCCCACAUUCCUGCUGCCUGAGUCACAGCGUGUGGCGGCUGCGGGCGGCCAUGGCACGGUGCUGCUGGCACCAGCGGGUGCAGGCGUUGCUGACCUCAUUUUGGAAAAGAGCCCCUUUGGUGACUCCCUGGAGUUCCCUCGUUUGAUAUCAGUGUUCAUGCCAUGCUAUGUGCUGUGCUAUGCCACAAAACCUUGUGAACACCAGUGUGUUUUGUAGCACUGCUCCAUCACCUCUGACACAGGAGACACUGAGCACUGGGAGAGUAACGUUGCAUCCUCCUCUGGGUGGUGUCUGGAGUAACUCAUCCCCAGUGGUUCCCCCGAGCUGCCACCAUCCCAUUCCGCCCAUGGCAGCACUGGAGAGAUGCUGUGAUUGCUUCAGAUGUGAUUUUUUUGUGCUGUGCAGUUGCUUCGUGGAUAUAAGGCUUUUCCCAUGGACUGAUGCACUGGGAAGAGCCACAUCCCAGUGUCACCAUCUGGGACCGAGCUCCUUCCUCCACAUCGCUCAGCUUUAA